GCUCAGGAACAAAUGCAGAACAAGAACAGCAAAUAUUUGAGAGAGGGGGUUAGGGCAUCUGAAUUUAUUCCCUCGUUCAAUCAAAGCCCUAACCUCUCCAAUUCUAUUCUCCGCAUAAGAAAGAAAAAAUAUUCAAUAAUCUUGUUAUAUAUAUAAGCAUAUAUGUCUCCGUAGAUGCAAUAAUUUGGGGAAGAAUUAAAGGAAAAUGAGUGGUCAAGUGGCUCCUAGACGGAACAGUAUGGUUCAGAAGCGGAAUCCGUCUACCCAAAGGAAGUCUUCAGCUCCUCCUUCCAAGAAUGGUGUCGCCUCCAGUGGGGUGCAAACAAAUUCCACCUUCCCUCUUCACUCGCACAGAGAACUUAGAUGAGCUUGUUUCUUCUGUUAUUCAAAGGUUGGGCGGCAUCACGAUCAGCGCCCUCAACUUUUGUAUGAAGACGAUGAUGGCGAUAAAGUUCUACUCACAACAGAUGGAGAUCUUAUUGGUGCAGUUAGCUAUGCGAGAUCAGCUGGACUAAAGGUUCUGAGAUUGCAUGUGGAGUACCACGAUUCAAGCGAUGUUAUGAAAAAGCCGCAGUUGGAAACUGCCACUGUGGGGAGAGCUGGACGGAUCGCUCUUGGCUCUGGGAUUUUUGCUGGAGCAGUUGUUCUUACAAGCAUAGGCGUAUUGGUCUACCUAAAACGCUCAAAAGCAUGAUGUUAGUGACGAAUUAUACUCAACAUUAUAUAUGAUAUCCCACAAUGUGCAUAUAUUGACAGUGGAAAGUUUAAAUUAUGGUUUGGGAGAGCUGCUUUA